UCGCCUUCCUUUAAUUUCUCAGCCGUUUUCUCUGCUCCAAAAAUACUCUUGUUCGCUUCAUUCACCUCCUCCACUAACCAGCUUGCCUCAUCGUGAUCGAGAGAUUUAAAAAUAUUAGGGACAGCGGUCGGUGUUGCGGGCUCGUAUUUGACGUCACUGAUGGAAGUCCCUCGGUUAUGACACUGGGCAUUAGUUCCCAGUUCCCUUGCGGUUGGUUUGUUGUCAGUCUGUGUGUAGUGUUCAGCGGUUGUUCUGGACAAUUGGUUGCGGGUCAGGGUAUUAGAGUGUUCUGCUUUUCUACGUUUGGGCUUGGGUGUUAGCUCGUUGCGGGCUAUGGGUUGUCUUUUGUUGCCUGCAUUGAUCUGGGUCAGCGGCCAUUCCACUGGGAAUAAGGCUGGUCGGUUGGACUGAGACUGACUUCCAAUACUGCUCAUUG